GAGGGUGUAGCUCAGUGGUAGAGUGCCUGCCUAGCAUGCACAAGUUCCUGGGUUUAAUCCCCAGUACCUCCA
rnacentral:tRNA from 1 species